rnacentral:rRNA from 1 species
GACGAACGCUGGCGGCAUGCCUAACACAUGCAAGUCGAGCGAGUUGAUCCCUUCGGGGUGAAGCUAGCGGCGGACGGGUGAGUAACACGUGGGCAACCUGCCUCAUAGAGGGGAAUAGCCUUCCGAAAGGGAGAUUAAUACCGCAUAAGAUUGCAGCUUCGCAUGAAGCAGCAAUUAAAGGAGCAAUCCGCUAUGAGAUGGGCCCGCGGCGCAUUAGCUAGUUGGUGAGGUAACGGCUCACCAAGGCGACGAUGCGUAGCCGACCUGAGAGGGUGAUCGGCCACAUUGGGACUGAGACACGGCCCAGACUCCUACGGGUGGCUG